rnacentral:rRNA from 1 species
UACAGAGGGUGCGAGCGUUAAUCGGAAUUACUGGGCGUAAAGCGCGCGUAGGCGGCUUUGCAAGUCGGGUGUGAAAUCCCCAGGCUUAACCUGGGAACUGCAUUCGAGACUGCAUUGCUAGAGUAUGGGAGAGGGAAGUGGAAUUUCCGGUGUAGCGGUGAAAUGCGUAGAUAUCGGAAGGAACAUCAGUGGCGAAGGCGGCUGCCUGGCCCAAUACUGACACUCAGGUGCGACAGCGUGGGGAGCAAACAGG